UGAUUCAGGAAUUACAGAUGGUGUUGAACUAUUUAGAUAUACUGUAGUGUUUGGAAGAAAGUAGUCAUGAGCGUUUUUGGGUUAAGGAUCACUGUGAAGAGUAGACGAUUGGAUGUAUCAUAUGUGUAUAUAGACAGUUUUGUAGUGUAUAUAGUGUACAUAUAGUUAAAUAUGAGUCCGUCGGAUGGGGACGUUUAAUCCGAGGCCCCAUG
rnacentral:lncRNA from 1 species